UUAAACGCUAAAUGGAGCCGGUCGGGACGGGAUUUCCCCGUCCCAUUUUCAACCCUACCUAGAGCUGAGGGAGAGGCGGCGAGGGUGCGAAUCCCGCAUUCAAGCUCGAUGGAGGUCUCCCGGAUCUCCGCAAGAGAGUAGACCGCAGUUGCGCCACAAGGAUGCAUUGUUGGAUGCGAAGUCUGCGGUUUGUUUGGUCCAAACUGGAUCCAGUGCGCCGCCGAGCUCGCCGGCGGCCAGGCCCCCGAUGAACAGCGCGGGGCAAAGCGUUGGUACCGUUGCCUCAAGGUUGGGGUCUCCAGGUCAAGAUUCGACGCGAGCAUCUCCGCUCGAACUUCUUAUCAGGGUGAACUCAUCCCGACAUCCGAGCGUAAUUGUGUGUGAUGGUGUAGAAGUAGUCUUACUUUAGACCGUUUUGGAGCAGCUGGAGGUUUUACGGCAUACUGAUUUAAAUCGUACUUUUUUUUCACGCACUCAGAAUAGCUGCAUGUUUUUCUGGGUUCAAGUUUAGGUGGAAUGCGAUUUUUUCUAUAUUCAAUUAUCACAAUGGUUGUGUUUUUAGUGAUACUUAGAAUAGCUGCAGAAUGGCUGAAAACUGCUGCUGGUUAAAUCUUUUAUGGGAAGUGAUGCUACAUCUCGAAGCAUUUUUCUGCUGCUGGUUACCAGGUGAAACGGUAUAUAGAGAGCACUCAAACUAGUUAAAUCUUAGUACUUAAGAGGAUGUUUUUUGUUGUGAAGUAUUGCUAUACCAUUCUGCUGGUAGUUCUACUUGUUGUUUAGUACUAAGAUUGAUCCCAUUAGAGUACGGCAUUCAGGGUAUCUCACUAGAGGAUUUUGUUUUCGGUUUAGGGCGAGGAGCAGGUAGUUGUAAUCCCAUGGGCAGUGAUCCUUGAGAAGGUGAUGAAGUCCCUACCAGGCAAAAAAGGUCCAGUUUAUCAUUGGAUGAAGUCUGGUGUUUCUGGUUUCCAAGUAUGCAUUGAAUUGGACUGCACGGGCACAAGGUAUUCAGUUGUACCAGUUGGAUGCUGCAGUUCGGAAUUGAAGGCUUGGGGCUUAAAAACAACCCUUCCCCAGACCCCGCACAGUGCGGGAAGCCUACGGCACUGGGUAUGCAACUUAUGAACAUGGAAGGAUGUUUUGAACCAAUAUGUAUGCGAUGUGGCCGAUCUGCUUAUUGCUACACUAUCAAUCAGCGGAGAUGCCUUCAAUGUCAAAUAUGCAAGCUCAGCAUAUGGGAGGGCACUCUGAAUCAGUAUGCACAAGGCAUGUUGAAUCUAUGAAGAGGGAGAUUCAACAGUGUCGGUAGUUAUUGUCUGUGAAAGAUAUUUAGCUAGCUAGCAUGGAGGCAGAUGUGUUGCUGAAUGUCAUGUGCCACCAAGGAGGAGCAUCUUAAUAAAUUAGUAGGCACUACUAGCAUGCGAAUUGAGCAGCAUGGAAUAUUUGGAAGGUGUGGAAUUGGCAUAUUUUUUACCAUCGUCAGUUGGAUGUGGCGCAGGUCUUCGUGCGUAAGAUGGCUUGUGGUGCACCUGAGCUCUCACUACUCUCAUGAUUAGUGUUUUCUUUUUCGGAGUGGACGAGUCUUUGCUUAUUUAUGUAAUCACAACAUUGUAAGAAUUAGCUUGCUUGUCCUUAAAUGACAAAGCAGUGCUCUUGCUAGUUUUUCAAAAAAGUAUUCCUUGUAAUAGCUC